rnacentral:rRNA from 1 species
GUGGGGAAUUUUGGACAAUGGGCGCAAGCCUGAUCCAGCAAUGCCGCGUGCAGGAAGAAGGCCUUCGGGUUGUAAACUGCUUUUGUACGGAACGAAACGGCUCUGGUUAAUACCCGGGGCUAAUGACGGUACCGUAAGAAUAAGCACCGGCUAACUACGUGCCAGCAGCCGCGGUAAUACGUAGGGUGCAAGCGUUAAUCGGAAUUACUGGGCGUAAAGCGUGCGCAGGCGGUUUUGUAAGACAGGCGUGAAAUCCCCGGGCUCAACCUGGGAAUGGCGCUUGUGACUGCAAAGCUGGAGUGCGGCAGAGGGGGAUGGAAUUCCGCGUGUAGCAGUGAAAUGCGUAGAUAUGCGGAGGAACACCGAUGGCGAAGGCAAUCCCCUGGGCCUGCACUGACGCUCAUGCACGAAAGCGUGGGGAGCAAACAGGAUUAGAUACCCUGGUAGUCC